UUCUUUAAUUUCCUAGAUUAAUGUUUGAUAGUUCUAGGCACCUAAGUCCUUUACCUCCUUGGUCAGGUGUAUUCCCAGGUAUUUGAUUUUUUGGGGUGCAAUUUUAAAAGGUAUUGUAGUUUUGUAACCCUUUUCUAAUAUUUCAUUGUUAGUAUACAGAAAUGCAAAUGAUUUCUGAAUGUUAAUCCUAUAUCCUACAUUUUGCUGAAUUUGUUGAUCGUUCAAGUAAUUUUGAAGUUGAGUCCUUAGGGUUUUCUAUAUAUAUUAUCAUGUAAUCUGCAUACAGUGACAAUUUCACCUCUUCUCUUCCUAUUUUGAUGCCUUUUAUUUCUUUAUCUGAUUGAUGUGGCUAGGACUUCCAGUACUAUGUUGAAUAACAGUGGUGAGAGUGGACAUCCUGGUCUUGUUCUAGAUUUUAGUGGGAAGGCUUUCAGCUUUUCUCCAUUGAGUAUUAUAUUUGCUGUGGGUUUGUCAUAAAUGGCUUUAAUUACAUUAAGGAAUAUUCCCUCUAUACCCACUUUGGUAAGAGAUUUGAUCAUGAAUGGAUGUUGGACUUUGUCAAAUGCUUUCUCUGCAUCUAUUGAGAUGAGCAUGUGGUUUUUGACUUAUCUUUUGUUAAAUGUGGUGUAUGACGUUGAUUGAUAUUUGUACGUUGAACCAUCCCUGGGCACCUGGGAUGAAUCCCACCUGGUGGUGGUGUGUGAUCUUUUUGAUAUGCUACUGGAUUUGGUUGACUAAAAUUUUGUUGAGAAUUUUUGCAUCUAUAGUCAUCAAAGAUAUUGGCCUAUAGUUUUCUUUUUUGGUGGUAUCUUUGUCUGGUUUUCGAAUUAAGGUGAUGUGGCAUCACAGAAUGUCUUUGGGAGUGUUCCUUCUUAAAACUUUUGAAAAAGUUUAAGGAGGAUGGGUAUAAGUUCCUCUUUGUAUGUUUGGUAGAAUUCACUCGUGGAGCCAUCUGGUCCUGGACUUUUAUUUGUAGGGAGUGUUUUUAUGACAUAUUCCAUUUCACUUCUAGUGAUUGGUCUGUUCAGUUGAUCUAUUUCACCUUGAUUCAUUUUUGGCAGGCUAUAAGUCUCUAGAAAGUUGUCCAUUUCUUCCAGCUUGUCAAAUUUGUUGGCAUACAAUUGUUCAUAGUAUUCUCUCAUGUUUUUUUCUAUUUCUGUAGUAUCCAUUGUGACUUCUCCAUUUUCACUUCUGAUUUUGUUUAUUUGGGUUUUUUUCUCUCCUCUUCUUGGUGAGUCUAGCCAGCGGUUUGUCAAUUUUGUUUACCUUUUAAAGAACCAAAUCUUGGUUUGAUUAAUUCCUUCUACUGUUUCUUUAAUCUCCACUUUAUUGACUUCCUCUUUGAUCUUUAUGAUUUCCUUCCUUCUUCUGAGUUUAGGUUUUGUUUGUUCUUCUUUUUCUAAUUCAUUUAGGUUUUGGGUUAAGUGUUGGGUUAAGUCACUGAGAUUUUUCUUCUCUUUUGAGAAAAGCCUGUAUUGCUAUUAAUUUACCUCUGAGCACUGCUUUUGUGGCAUCCCAUAGAUUUUGAGUGGAUGUGUCAUUGUCAUUUGUCUCAAGGCAUUUUUUUAAUUUCCUUCUUGAUUUCAUCAUUGAUCCACUGUUUUUUUAGUAGCAUGUUCUUUAGUCUCCAUGUAGUAAGUUUUUUUCUCACUUCUUUUCAUGUGGUUGAGUUCUAGUUUCAUUCCAUUGUGGUCAGAGAAGAUACUUGAAAUAAUUUCUAUAGUUUUAAAUUUGUUGAGGUUAGCGUUGUGCCCCAGUAUGUGAUCAAUUCUUGAGAAUGUUCCAUGUGCACUUGUGAAGAAUGUAUACUCGGUUUUUUUGGAUGUAAUGUCCUGAAAAUGUUGAUUAAAUCUAACUUUUCUAUUGUGUACUUUAAGAUCUCUUUUGCCUUAUUGAUUUUUCUGUCUAGAGGAUCUGUCCAUUGUUGUGAGUGGGGUGUUAAAGUCUCCUACUAUGAUUGUAUUCCCAUCAAUUUCUCCUUUUAUGUCCUUUAGUAUUUGUUGUAGAUAUCUGGAUGCUCCUAUAUCAGGGUCAUAUAUAUUGACGAUUGUAAUAUCCUCUUCUUGAAUGGAU
rnacentral:lncRNA from 1 species